GCCUACGGGAGGCAGCAGUGGGGAAUAUUGGACAAUGGGCGAAAGCCUGAUCCAGCCAUGCCGCGUGUGUGAAGAAGGUCUUCGGAUUGUAAAGCACUUCAGCGGGGAGGAAGGAAAGUAGAUUAAUAAUUUGCAAUUUUGACGUUACCGACAGAAUAAGCACCGGCUAACUCUGUGCCAGCAGCCGCGGUAAU
rnacentral:rRNA from 1 species